rnacentral:rRNA from 1 species
AGUAGCAGCAUACCACCCUGCAUCCCACUGCUGGCUUGCCUCUGAAGCUAAGCAGGGUUGGCCCUGGAUGGGAGACCAGAUGCUGCUGGAA